AAGUCUGACGGAGCAACGCCGCGUGAGUGAUGAAGGUUUUCGGAUCGUAAAACUCUGUUGUUAAAGAAGAACAAGUACCGGAGUAACUGCCGGUACCUUGACGGUACCUAACCAGAAAGCCACGGCUAACUACGUGCCAGCAGCCGCGGUAAUACGUAGGUGGCAAGCGUUGUCCGGAAUUAUUGGGCGUAAAGCGCGCGCAGGUGGUCUCUUAAGUCUGAUGUGAAAGCCCCCGGCUCAACCGGGGAGGGUCAUUGGAAACUGGGAGACUUGAGUGCAGGAGAGAAGAGUGGAAUUCCACGUGUAGCGGUGAAAUGCGUAGAGAUGUGGAGGAACACCAGUGGCGAAGGCGACUCUUUGGCCUGUAACUGACACUGAGGCGCGAAAGCGUGGGGAGCAAACAGGAUUAGAUACCCUGGUAGUCCACGCCGUAAACGAUGAGUGCUAAGUGUUAGAGGGUUUCCGCCCUUUAGUGCUGCAGCAAACGCAUUAAGCACUCCGCCUGGGGAGUACGGCCGCAAGGCUGAAACUCAAAGGAAUUGACGGGG
rnacentral:rRNA from 1 species